rnacentral:rRNA from 1 species
CCUACGGGAGGCAGCAGUGGGGAAUAUUGCACAAUGAGGGAAACCCUGAUGCAGCGACGCCGCGUGAGUGAAGAAGUAUUUCGGUAUGUAAAGCUCUAUCAGCAGGGAAGAAGAAAGACGAUACCUGACUAAGAAGCCCCGGCUAACUACGUGCCAGCAGCCGCGGUCAUACGUAGGGGGCAAGCGUUAUCCGGAUUUACUGGGUGUAAAGGGAGCGUAGACGGCUGUGCAAGUCUGAAGUGAAAGCCCAGGGCUCAACCCUGGGACUGCUUUGGAAACUUGGGAGCUAGAGUGCUGGAGAGGUAAGUGGAAUUCCUAGUGUAGCGGUGAAAUGCGUAGAUAUUAGGAGGAACACCAGUGGCGAAGGCGGCUUACUGGACAGUAACUGACGUUGAGGCUCGAAAGCGUGGGGAGCAAACAGGAUUAGAUACCCGAGUAGUC